AAGAAAGAGCUAUUGAAAUAUCAAACUUUUAAAUUUGAGUUAGAAUAAGUUGGUUUUUUGGUUCUGUUAUCUAUAAAUACUAGAAAAAGUUGUACACAAAAUCUCAUAUAGUUAUUGUAAAAAAUUGAUUAGGCUGAAAACUAAGGGACCGAAGUAAAGUAUAUAACAAAUAAUACCCCUUGAAAUCAAAAAAGAAAGUUCAAGAGGAUUAGGAGGCCUGAGUUAUGAUUUUGAUAAAAUUAGAAUGAUAUAUUGAUUUUAAACUUUUUUCCCCGAGUCCUAAGUCGUGUAUAUAGUAUAUAGUAUAUAGAUCAAGUUAUAAAAGUACAACUAAAAAAUAAAUACAAACAUAAUGGAAUUAUG
rnacentral:lncRNA from 1 species